rnacentral:rRNA from 1 species
UACAGAGGUCUCAAGCGUUGUUCGGAUUCAUUGGGCGUAAAGGGUGCGUAGGCGGCGGGGCAAGUCAGGUGUGAAAUCCCGGGGCUCAACCCUGGAACUGCACUUGAUACUGCUUUGCUAGAGUACUGGAGAGGAGACUGGAAUUUACGGUGUAGCAGUGAAAUGCGUAGAUAUCGUAAGGAAGGCCAGUGGCGAAGGCGAGUCUCUGGACAGUUACUGACGCUGAGGCACGAAGGCCAGGGGAGCAAACGGG